rnacentral:tRNA from 1 species
UAGCUCAGUUGGUAGAGCAUGGUGUGUGCAACGCCAGGGUUGUGGGUUCGUUUCCCAC